AGACGCUGGCGGCGGCCUACACAUGCAAGUCGAGCGAGACCUUCGGGUCUAGCGGCGGACGGGUUAGUAACGCGUGGGAAUAUACCCUUCACUACGGAAUAGCCUCGGGAAACUGGGAGUAAUACCGUAUACGCCCUUUUGGGGAAAGAUUUAUCGGUGAAGGAUUAGCCCGCGUCUGAUUAGAUAGUUGGUGGGGUAAUGGCCUACCAAGUCUACGAUCAGUAGCUGGUUUGAGAGGAUGAUCAGCAACACUGGGACUGAGACACGGCCCAGACUCCUACGGGAGGCAGCAGUGGGGAAUCUUAGACAAUGGGCGCAAGCCUGAUCUAGCCAUGCCGCGUGAGUGACGAAGGCCUUAGGGUCGUAAAGCUCUUUCGCCAGAGAUGAUAAUGACAGUAUCUGGUAAAGAAACCCCGGCUAACUCCGUGCCAGCAGCCGCGGUAAUACGGAGGGGGUUAGCGUUGUUCGGAAUUACUGGGCGUAAAGCGCACGUAGGCGGAUUGGAAAGUAUGGGGUGAAAUCCCAGGGCUCAACCCUGGAACUGCCUUGUAAACUCCCAGUCUAGAGUUCGAGAGAGGUGAGUGGAAUUCCAAGUGUAGAGGUGAAAUUCGUAGAUAUUUGGAGGAACACCAGUGGCGAAGGCGGCUCACUGGCUCGAUACUGACGCUGAGGUGCGAAAGUGUGGGGAGCAAACAGGAUUAGAUACCCUGGUAGUCCACACCGUAAACGAUGAAUGCCAGACGUCAGGGGGCUUGCCCUUUGGUGUCACACCUAACGGNAUUAAGCAUUCCGCCUGGGGGAGU
rnacentral:rRNA from 1 species